rnacentral:rRNA from 1 species
AUGGGACCUGGACGAACAGUUCGCCCACCAAGGAAUGCCCCACAAUCUCAAGGUCAACAUUCUGGGAGUACCUCAACAUCAAAAUCCAGGAAGGUGCGUGGGAUAAAUAAGGGAAAGGGCUUGGAGCGUUUGAUCAAAAGGGCAGGUCAUCCACUAAACUUGACCAUCUCCGAAGAGAGAAGACCUAUUGGAGAAAAUAAUGAACUACUUUCCAGAGAGAUUGGACUUCUUACACGGUACCAUGCACCUAUCCAACGUGCCGGGUAG